GCGCCGGUGGUGUAAUGGCGUAGAGCAUUCCCACCCGGUCAGAAGGAGGUGCGGGUUCGAGUCCCGCCUGGCGCU
rfam:Heligmosomoides polygyrus genome assembly, scaffold: HPBE_scaffold0001076